rnacentral:ncRNA from 1 species
CCUAGGGAUAGGGAAUUGCAAUUAUUUUCCUUGAACGAGGAAUUCCCAGUAAGCGCGAGUCAUUAGCUCGCGUUGAUUACGUCCCUGCCCUUUGUACACACCGCCCGUCGCUACUACCGAUUGAAUGGUUUAGUGAGGUCCUCCGAUUGGACCCGGUCCGGGCGGCGACGUCCGAGCCGGCGUCCGAGAAGACGAUCUAACUUGAUCAUUUAGAGGAAGUAAAAGUCGUAACAAGGUUUCCGUAGGUGAACCUGCGGAAGGAUCAUUA